rnacentral:rRNA from 1 species
AUGCAGGUCGAGCGGGUCCGGCGUAAGCCGGAUCAGCGGCGGACGGGUGCGUAACACGUAGGAAUCUGCCUCUUAAUGGGGAAUAGCCCCGCGAAAGCGGGGGUAAUACCGCAUAAGUACUGAGAGUAAUCGAAGUAGAAAGCGCUUAACCGCGCGUUGAGAGAAAAGCCUGCGGCCUAUCAGCUUGUUGGUGAGGUAACGGCUUACCAAGGCUAUGACGGGUAGGGGGUGUGAGAGCACGACCCCCCACAAGGUCACUGAGACACGGGGCCUACAUCUACGGAUGGCAGCAACUGGGAAUCUUGCGCAAUGGACGAAAGUCUGACGCAGCGACACCGCGUGUGGGAUGAAGUAUUUCGGUAUGUAAACCACUGUGAUAGGGGAUGAACUCUUGACAGUACCCUAUUAGAAAGCACCUGCUAACUACGUGCCAGAAGCCUCGGCAAUACGUGGGGUGCAAGCGUUAUCCGGAUUUACUGGGCGUAAAGGGUUUCGCAGGCGGAUAGCUAAGUCCGGUUUCAAAGACCAUGGCUCAACUGUGGGAAGGGGUCGGAUACUGGCUGUCUAGAGGACAUCAGGGGAGACUGGAAUUCUCGGUGGAGGGGUGAAAUCCGUUGAUAUCGAGAAGAACGCCAAUGGUGAAGACAAGUCUCUGGGGUGUUUCUGACGCUCAGGUACGAAGGCUAGGGGAGCGAACGGGAUUAGAGACCCCGGUAGUCCUAGCCGUAAACUAUGAAUACUAGAUGCUCCUUUCGGGGGGUGUCGUAAGCUAACGCGUUAAGUAUUCCGCCUGGGUAGUACGGCCGCAAGGUUAAAACUCAAAGGAAUUGACGGGGAUCUGCACAACCAGUGGAGCAUGUGGUUCAAUUCGAUACAAAGCGAAGGACCUUACCUGGGUUUGACAUGCUAUUGCACGCCUCGCGAAAGCGAGGAAGCCUUCGAGGGUAUAGCACAGCUGCUGCAUGGCUGUCGUCAGCUCGUGUCGUGAGACGUCCGCUUAAGUGCGGUAACGAGCGCAACCCCUAUUCCGUGUUAUAUAUUCACGGGAGACUGCCUUACAGCAAGUAGGGAGGAAGGAGGGGACGACGUCAAGUCCGCAUGGCGCUUACGCCCAGGGCCACACACAUCCUACAAUGGGAAGGACAACGGGUCGCGAAACUGUAAAGUCGAGCUAAUCCUUUAAACCUUUCCUCAGUUCAGAUUGAGGGCUGCAACUCGCCCUCAUGAAGUCGGAAUUGUAGUAAUCGCGGGUCAGAAGACCGCGGUGAAUACGUUCUCAGAUCUUGUACACACUGCCCGUCAAGCCAGCAAAGUCGACAGAUCCCGAAGCGUCCCCUUUAGUGGGGGCUCUAAGGAUAGGCCGGCGAUGAGGACUAAGUCGUAACAAGGUA